rnacentral:lncRNA from 1 species
CAGGGGAUUUUGGUUAUCGGGUGAAAAAUUAAACUCAAAGUCUCAGUCAGCUGUGAGUGCACAAACGGCACAGAUGAACAACUAUGACAAUUUGAUUUGGCAACCGAAAAAAUUGUUCCGUAGAUUGUCACUAAUUUUUUGUAGCAAUCAGCUAAAUCCAGUGGCAGCAUAGUUUGAGAAGGAGAGUGUGCUGGUGUCAUGCAACGGUAAUAGAAGCAAUUGUCAUGAACCAUGAUGAACAUGGUGUCACAUCCCAAAACAGAACGCUAAAAUUAGUUAAUGAUGCCAAAAAAUUUUAUCGUAAUACAAUCUAGUCAGAUUGAAAUUACUUUGGUGACAUGCAACAAGGAACAAGAAUUAUAAAAAAAGAAGUUAACCAACAAAGCAAAUUAAACAGGAACCUAGCAUCACAAAUGUGUCAAAUUUUCUACUUUCCUACUUUUCAGACAAAUAAUCUGUUAUUUCUUGCUAUUUCUUCUUAGGAAUCCUUCUGCAAUUCUGUUUAUCAACAAUUCACCGAUGGUUGAGCAAUUUUGAACUCACCUAUCUGUAAAACUUUAAGGCCAUGUUAUGGAGUACUCCAACUUUAAGUUUAGAUGCCAAAAAUGAAAGUCAGAGAAUUAAAUGGGACUUCCUACACUCUGGGAUUAAAAUUAGUAUAAACUAAGCAAACUUCAGCUACAUUUCAGCUUACAGCAGAGCAGAUUCCAUACACUUGACAAGAAAUCACAAGCAUAAUUUAUUCGACGAUUAAUCCCACACACAUAAAACAUCUACACCAUCAAACUUGGAGUCGUUAUAUUAAUUUAAUAUUAUACAAUUAUCCAAUUUCACGAUCAAUCAAAGUAAUCUCAAAAUAAAGCAAAUUGGUCUGAUCAAAGGGCCAUAGUGACUUAGAAAAAUGAGCAGAACGCAGCAAACAUAAAAAACAUCUAGAAGACGAAUGAUACAGGGUGAGUAACAGAGGAUAAGAAUUUGAAUUCAGAGUUAAUUUCAAUAUACAAAGCAAAAUGGCGGUGUUAAAAAGAAAAAAAAAAAGCCAUAACACUCGAGACACUGUACAAAUUAUAAGAAAAAACAGAAACCAUUUGAGCAAACCUCCAAAGAACCGAGAAAAUGAAUAAUAUAAGGUGAUUAUCAGAGGGGAAAAAAGUUGAUUUCACAAUGGAUUUCAAUACAAAGCAAAAUGGGCUCUUCAAAAGAAGGCUAUGAAACUCAAGAACUGAUCACAAUUACAAGAAAAUGAGCAGAACCCAUUUGAACAAACCUCGAAAACACCGAGAAGACGGAUGAUAUUUGGGUGAUUAACAGAGGAUAAGAAGUUGACUUCGCAGUCCAAGCAGUUCUUGAGGCUGCGGGUAAGCUUUGAGAGUUGGAUUUGCUUUAAAGCAACUAUUUGCCCGCUUUCUCUGUGCCUCGCCUUCCACACCCUCGACACUGAUCCUCUGCUGCCUUCGCUAAGUAGGGAUUUCAAAACGUAGUCUUGAAUUCUUCCCAGUUCGUUUGAGUCCGACGAAUGUUUCUCCUCUAUCUCAUCAGUCUCCAUUGCUCUCGAGAUUUUACGUCUUUUAGCUUUCGGGUGCUGGGUUCUUGGUCCCUCUAGAAGCCGCUGGUGGAUGUGCAAUUUUAAAUCGAAUUCUAUAGUUUCGGUUUUAAUAAUUGUAGUUAAGUUCAAGGGCUAAAUUACAAAAACUCAGCCUCAGGUAUAUGGCCAAUUUUACACACUAUAUUCUCACAUUAUUUUUUUCUUACUUUAUCCUAAAAUCAUUAGUCUAACUCUAACUGUUAUAUAAUGGCAAUGUCAACAAAAAAAAAAUUAUUACCUCUAAAGAUUAAUUAGUAUAAAUGCCCUUAAGAUAUGGCGUGUUUCCUAUUAAAAAAAGAUAUAACGUAUUUUGCAUUUUAUCUCCUAACAUCAUUUUUUCUCUUUUUUUUUUGUAUCAUAAACUCUCCAAUGUUUUAUAACAUCAGGACAAAUUAUGUCUAAAAAAAUAUCAUUAUUCCAAACAUAAUAAUGAAAUAUAAUAUAUUUAUGGUUAUAGGUCUAAUUUGUCUGAAUGAUUCAUUAGCAGAGAAUGAUUUGUUGAACUCAAUAUGCAACUCUUAAUUACUAUUUAUUUUCAUUUGUACUCUAAAUUACUAAGCUGUAAAUUGGUUAUGUUAAUGUACAUAAGUAUUAUCUAUACUACAUAUAAAGUUUGAGAAAAGGAUGUGGGGUUAACAUUUAUUUUUAUUUUAUGAACUUCCUUUCUACUACAUGUAUAGAUUACUUUUAUUUUAACUACCUAUAAUUACCCAUGACUAUUUUUACUUUUAAUUAUUUAAAUAUAUGUUUUCAACAUCACUAUCCUUUCUUCAGUAAUAAAAAUUUUAAUUAAAAUAUGUGACCAUAAAUAUUAUGUAUUUUUUUAGUGCGCACAUAUUGGGUAUGUAUUGAGCACUAGUAACUUAUAAUUUGGGAGUACAAACUGCUAAUCAAUUAUAGUUUGAUGGUUUAUAAAGCAAUUAACACUUUUCAUGAGAGUUGUUUUGGUUUCUAAAAGGGGUUCACCAUAGAAUUCAUAAUUCUUCAUAAAAAAGAAAAGAAAUUAUUAGUAGAGAGUGCAUAAUUUUGAUAUGUUAUUAGGGAUAUUUGUAUUUAUUUUUCUAUAAAAUAUGCUAUAGUCCUGAAAAAAUGUACAUUCUACGGAGAAAUUAAUUCAAGUAUCCUUUAUAAUAAAUUGUAAUAUAAUCCUUUUUAGACAUUCUUCCUCACUGUUGAUUGACACAACUUUUCGUCAUUCUGAAUGCAUUUUAGUAAUGAAUUUGGCACGGGAUAAUUUCACAAAUCUUGGGAUUUAUGACAAUUGCGCAAAACUACCAAUGAGUUUGAAAAAUUACACUCAACUCCCGGAAUUAGCAUUGCUUGAAAGUUGAAAAUAAUAAUAAUUCGAACGGACAAGUUUUAGAAACAAAGCGUAGCCUGUCCCAUUCUAAUCAGGAAUCGAAGAACGCGAGAUUAUUAGGCAUUUUCCUAAACAUUUUCUGAUUAGCAUCACCUUUCCAAAACAAGAAUGAAUCUCCUUUCACACCAGGACCAAGUUUAGAAAUUGCAUUGAUCUUCUUCUAUAUAUAUAGUAACUACAUUGUCGUUUGCAUCAAUCUGCCUGGCUAAAAAUCAAGAAACCCUGAAGUUGUUUACGAGAAUUUUUUUUUUUCCAUUCCUGAUUCUUGAUUGGCUUCUCCAAUGGCGAGUAAAGGACUCCCUCCCCUUGAUCUGAUUCUGCCACUGGCUCCACUGAGUACUCGGCAGCCCCCGCCCUCCUCCACCUACACAUACGGUCCAGCUAGUCAUGAUCAAGAUGCUGCUCCAAUCAAGUACGCUCUCCUGCCCACUGCAGCAGGUGUUGCAAACCCGGGUAGUACCAUAUAUUUUCCAGAAUUAUUUCGUCCUGUGGAAAGAACCAAUGUAAGAAAUCGAGGGCUUGAGCCGCCACGGCUUGAUUUGUUGCGUAGGGAUGAUAAUGGUGAUGGAUGUGAUCUUUCUCUAGCUCCUCCAUUGCAGGACAAGGGCAAGGGUAAGAUACCGGCACAGGGACGUUACUUGGAGACGAAGAAACAAAGAAAAAGAAGAGUCCGAGUUGAGCCUGAUCGGGGUCAAGAAAUCAAGAAAAGAAAGGUAACAGCAAAGGCCAAAGGGAUCAAGAAUAUCAAGAAAAGCAAACCUCAGAACGGUGGAAGGACUGAGGCAAUCUCAGUCAGCAGUUCUAGCCCUAGUAGUGCUGCUUUGUCUCUGUAAUCAACAUGGCAAUUUUUGAUGUUUAUCGGUGUAGUAUUUAGUUUUUUUUUCUAGUGCUUGAAUUCUUAUAGUUUUUUAGUUUUGCAGUCUUAUGGAUUUUUACAUUGAAAGUAGGAAGCAAGAUAAUCUCAUCAAAUUCUAUUGUCUUCUCUUAAAUAUUCAUUGUCCAUCGAUUUUCUUUUACUGUAAUUUCUUUUGCUUUUAAUUUUCUUCUAUGCCUGACAGUUGGUUCUCAAAUUUUAUCAUAUCUACUCGACCAAGAAACUACUUUUUCGUUGUUUCUGAUUUGAUUAGUUCUCUGCAUUCCUGCUGAGGAUUCAUGUCUGAAUAGAUACCAUAUAUGGCCUUCAAUAGCCUGAUGGAUGAUACACAACUUUGGAGAACAAUAUAUUAUUGGGUCCUAGAAAGAGUUGUUAGGCAUAGGAAUUUUUUUCUUGCUAAAUUACCAAAAAACAAAAAAAAAAUGAAGGAAUUGUUUCUUGAUUUAAAAAAGAAGUGUUUCUUUUUUUCCUUGAGUUUUUUUUUUUGGCAUGUUUGGUGUUUGUUUAACAUUUAGAACAUUAGUUCAACUAAACGUUAGGAAUCUACAUGAUAUUUUGAUUUUUAUGUUGCUUGCAGUCAAUAAACGGGAUAUGAAUCUGCUGAUUUACAUUGCAGUCCCUCAAUUCAAGAUCUGGUCAAAGUCAAGAAGAAAAGAAUAACAAUACAACUAAUGCUAAAUAAUGAUUAGAUGAAAAUCUCAGUUUAAUAGAUAAAAACAGUCCUAUUUCGACACAUAAUAUGUGACGAUUUUUAGAGUUCUCUCUGCCUACCUUUCAUAAAUAAAUUACUGACAGUUGGAGAUAGGAAAGGCGUAGAGAAGGAUGGAACGAUAAAAAACAAAAAGAAUACCAUCAAUUCAAUUACAAUGUUAUGCUAAUGUUUCACAUAAAUUUUUCUACAACCUUGUACUCAAAAUGGAUCAAAUGUUGUGUGCAUACCUAUUUUACUUUGAGUGCAUAUCUCCCUCCUCUACAGGAUCACAAGUUUUGUUGAUGCUAGAAAUUGGCUCGAUGUCGUUUUACUUUUUUCUUGUUUGAGUUCAACCUGUGACAGGCAAGUCUUAUUUCUUAGGGAAAGUUUCAAAAGUUAAGUUAUUAAACUUUUUAGAGAGAUAAAAUUAUGAGAAUUAGCUUUCCAACCCUAAAAAAAAAAAAAAUUUAGUAUGUAUAUAAAAGUUGACUUCAUUCUCCUAUCAUGACCUCAGAUAGACCUUGGACCUUAAUGGAUUUUUGUACAGCUGGUGCCACUGUCCCUUGUGACCUGAAGUCUAACUUUACACUAGGGCUUGAAUGUUUGGGUCUAGGCCCGAUACUUGGGCCUAGUAUUUUUCAAUUCUACUGCUAUAUAUCCAAAAGAAGGCUGUGUUUUCUUCUCCCUUGUAUGUUCCCAGUUGGUGUAGGAACCUUGAAAUGCAAUUUAGUCAAGUCAACCGAACUGAUGGAGAAAUAAAUUCACAAACCUUUUGAAUGUUUACGAGAAUUUCAUAUAGCUCCCCUUUAUGUUUUCAAAAUUGCACUUAUUUCUCUUAUCUUGAUGUUUGUUAAACAAUUUAUUACAUCCCCAUGGUAGAGAAAUAUCAGACAACAUAAACCCAUGAGUGCGACUUUUUUCUUUUCUCUUCUUGCUUUACUUUUAUUGUUUUUAUUUCCCGGUUACCAUUUACAAAUUUAUCGUCCCGAUUUUUGCUUCAUUUUUAUGUUGCUAUAAUGAAUAAGAUAACGGUUACUUGUUGCAUAUGAAAUCCAUUUGCGUGUCUCUUAUUCCUUUUUUUUUUUUUUUGUCUUCCUUUUUUUUUUUUUUUUUUUGUCAAUCAUCACUUUAUCUAUAGUAAUCGCUACAUUAUCUAAUCUAAGGAGAGAUUCAACUGGGGUCUAAGGGAUCGGUAGAGACUGAACCACCACUGUAUCAGACAGGUGUACUAUGCACCUAUCUGAAUUUUUUAAGAAACCACUUAAUAUGACAAUUUGAACCCUUGCCUCCCAUUCCACCAAACUUUUAAUAGUUUAGUGGUGGCCAUUAGUCCAAAGGCCGGUGGUUAUUUGCAUGUCCCUUCGGUUUAACAAAGUUUGUACAUCCUUCGGUAUCAUAAAUGCAAGAAAUGGAAAUUUUAUAAAUCCGAGAGGGACAUGCUAAGAAAUUAGGUGUCAAGUUUCACAAGAGGGCAACGCACGCCAUUAAAAAAUCUACUCCAAAUUUAUUUGCAAGAUACGGUCAAUUUGGUCGACUAUCAACAAUUUAAGAAACCAUUAAUAACAAAUAUUGACAGUUUAACAAGUAGUUAACACUGAUUACUUAAGGUGAUAGUGAUAACCACACAACUUAUUGGACCGGGGCUAGGGGUGCAAACGAAUCGGCUCGCGGGCGGCUCAAUUCGAGCUUGAGCCGGUCGAGUCAAAAUCGAGCUCGAGCUCGAGGUCAAAACAUUAAGCUCGUUAGCUCGCGAGCCUCGAAUAUAUAUAUAUAUAUAUAUAUAUAUAUAUAUAUAUAUAUAUAUAUAUAUAUAUAUAUAAUAUCUUUAAUAUUUUAUUUUCUGUGUAUAUAUAUAUAUAUAUAUAUAUAGGCUUCCAGUGGUUUGAUCUCUCAAAAGGCUCCUAGCUUAGUAACUUGUAGUAAUGGAGUUUGAAAAGAUGUAUUUUGAUGUUGAGCCAAGCUACAUUAUUGAUCAUCAUUGUAGUAGCUUGGAAACUGCAUUAACUUUCCAAAACAAUUUGAUUCCACCUUAUUCUUUCCAAGAUUAUGUUUCCAAUGAUAUUGUUAGCACCGAAAACUUUCUUGAAAUGGAAACAGAUAUCAAGGAUUUCGAGCUAAAAAUUGUGCUUUAGACCACGAAAACGUGGUACACAAAAGAUUGUUGCCCUGUCAAGAAAUCCAAGAAACUAUGGAUAUUUUGGCUGCUGAGCAAUCCCAUUUGAAGGAUAUUCAAGAUGAACUCAUGGAAGAGAGAGCUUAACUGAUCUGCUGCUGAUGGGGGCAGAAGCUAUUGAAGCAGGAAAUGUUCGUUUUGCUUCAUUAGUUGCACUCAGGCUCAAGGAUAUCCUAUCUGAUCAAGAAAAUGGUGACAAUCCAUUGGAUAGGUUAGCUUUAUAUUUCACUCAGGGCCUUCUUGACAAGAGCCUCACUGCUCCUGAGCUUCCGGAGGACCCUGUUUCGCACAAACCAAUGCUAUCUCAGCCUUCCAAAUGCUGCAGGAGCUGUCACCAUAUGUGAAGUUCGCGCAUUUCACAGCCAACCAGGCAAUCCUGGAGGCAACGAAGGUCAUCAGGAGAUUCAUGUUAUCGAUUUUGACGUCAUGGAAGGAAUUCAAUGGCCUUCUUUGAUGGUUGACCUUGCUGCUAGAGAAGACGCAUCUCUUAGGAUAACUGCUAUUGCUGGUGACAAAAGAAGUUCAUGCAAUAUUCAACAAACAGGUUUUAGAUUACAAGAUUUCGCAAAUUCAAUCAAUCUUUCUUUCUCCUUUGACCAAGUUCUGGUAACGAAAGAAGAAGAUUUCGAAGAGAUCAAAGUAGGGCAUACCCUGAUAGCUAAUUGUAUGAUUAAUCAGCUUCAUAUGCCUUACAGAGAAAGCUCAUUGGUCAAAACAUUUUUCAACGGUUUGAGGAAACUGUCCCCAAAGAUAUUGGUUUUAGUCCAAGAAGAGUUAUUCAGCUUCUCUAAAGCUCCAUCUACAUCAUUUGCGGAGUUCUUUUGUGAGGCCUUAGAUCAUUACACAGCACUCUCUGAUUCACUCCGGAGUGGUUUUUGUGCAGGUUACAAAUUAGCAUUAAAGAUCAUAGAGAAGGAGUUCUUGAGAAUGAGAAUUUUGGAUAGUGUGAAACAUUUUCCUUGUGGGAUCAUGGGAAAUGAAAGUAACAUGUUGCCAGAUUAUCCUUCUAUGAAUGGAUUCAGGCCAAUUCCUACGAGUUCCUGUAAUGUUACUCAAGCAAAGCAUUUAAUCAGUUUGUUUAAUGGGGGUUACUGGGUGCAAAAUGAACAGUGCAAGUUAACAUUAUGUUGGAAAUCAAGACCUUUGACCACCGCUUCCAUUUGGGUGCCGACAGCAUCAAGCAACACUAGUCUUGCUAGGUCAACUUCUUUUUAAUUGGUUUAGAUCAAUUUCCUUGGACUUUGGAUCAUAUUAUAUAUUGGAAGCUAGUGUGACAGUGUAUUUUCCCCUUGUGAAUAGCCAUGUUUUGUUUUUAAGAUUUGAAAUUGAAGAGUUGAAAGUGAUAUGUAUACAUUAAAAAAUUUUCAUGCUAGUAGUGGGUGUUAGGUUGCAAGGUGUGACCAAUGCCGCAAAUGGAAUCUUCUUUGCCUUUGUUUUCCUUUUAGAUGGCUUUUACUCUUUUUCCUUUUGUUGGUUGUGGGGAAAAUUAGUGCAGAAGCACAUUGGAAAGAGGAGAAUGUGACUACAAAAUGAAAAUGGGAAAAUAAGUGGCUCCAAAACGUUCUCAACUUUGAGAAUUUUAUCAGCAGAUUUAUGUUCUUGAAAGUAGAUAUUAUCCAAGUGUUAUUGUUUUUCAAGUUUCUCCAUAUGGCUUUUAGCUCCACAUAUACAAGCAUCAAAUCAAAUUAAAGAAGAUUCUAAAAGGUUUGUAGUUUAUAACUGAAGUACACUUUACUCCCUCAUACUAUAGUGGCAGUUCGUUCCCAUCUAUAUUCUCUUUGUUAGGACUUUAAACCCUUUAGGCUUUUUUUUUCUGGUAUAACGCACAGGUAUUUGCAUCCGUUUUAUGAUCUGCGACUAAUCAUGUUUGAACUCUUGCAUCAACAUCACGUUGGUUUAAGCCCUUUAGUUACUACUCCAAAUAUCUGAACAAUAAUCCCAGUGUACUUUGAGAGUCCAUUUAUCCUUUAGCGUUUCUUUUUCAUAUUUUUCCCGUAACUAAGAAGAAACAAACUGAUGAGAAUAGUGAAGUUCCUAUCAAGAUUGUAUUCAGACCUUAUUUAGUAAACUAGCUUUUCAAGAAACUCUCAAAUGGUUGUAGUUAAUCUCUUCAAAAGUUAACUCAUAUUCCUCCGAAAUGAGUAAAAAAACUGCUACAAAUGUUAAUUUUUCCAGAUCAAUAAAGCAAAUUCAAUAGGUUAAAGGCAGUGAAGACCUCACCACAAUGUGGUCACAAGAUGGGUUGUUGGAACUUAAUCUGCUUAAAUUUGCUUCUAGAAUAUAACAUGUGAAGAGAAAUUAAAAAAAAAAAAAGUAAUAAAAAACCAAGUCCCAAGUAAAAUCUGCUCGAAAGAAAUUCCAUGGAGGUAACAUAUGUACAAAGAAAAUACAAGAUGAUUGUAACUAAACUUGCUCUAACAAACAUAUUUAUUACUUAAUGUUGAAAAAUCUCAAGACAUGGUUGAUUUUAAGGUUAACAGCUACAGGGAAUGAUUGAACAGUCAGAGUUGUGUCAACUAAUUUCCAUGAGUGACAGAACACAAAUAUAUCAAUCUAUUGUCAAGACUUGUACAAGAUCCAAAGCGAUGCUAGAUUUCUUACAUUCCAAGGAAAUGCAGCUAAAAUGCAACAACUCGAGGGGAAAAAAACAAAAGAAAAAAAAUAAAGAAGCUCAAUAGCAAAUAAAAUAUUUAGUAUAUAGUAUAACCGAACAUAAGCUACAAAAAGGGUAUAUGGUAGAAUUAUCAGGCACGUAGAGCACUGCGCACCUAAAAGGAGGGAGGAAACUGAAAACCAAAAAGCAGAACCAAUCUAGCCACAGAAGUGAUUUACCCCAACCACUAUUAGCAGAAACAUGUGAAUAGUUUCAAGAGCUUAAGGACUGAAACUCACAAGUGAAGAACUUUUUUCUUCAUUGGCUGUUCAAGCACUGCAAGCUAUAUUUCCAGAUUGCCAUUUUAGAUUGAAUAUCUUCUAAAGUGGUUAACAAAUGUAAGCUUUAAACAGUGUGCAAGCUCUCCAAUUUAUCCAGUGAUCAUUGUUCCUACUCCUUCAUCAGUGAGAAUCUCAAGGAGUAAUGAGUGCUGUACUCGUCCAUCAAGUAUAGUUGCAGUCCUGACACCUUGAGCUACGGACCUCACGCAGCAAUCCACCUUUUGAAACAUCCCACCUGCAAUCUUCCCAUCAUUCAUCAUCCUCCUCGCCCCUUGGAUAUCUACUUCCUUCACCAAACUUCCUGGGUCACCUUGGUCCUCUAGAAUUCCAGCCACAUCAGUCAAAAGAAUUAACUUCUCUGCUGCCAAGGCCGCAGCAACCUCACCCGCAGCUAUGUCUGCAUUGAUGUUGUAUGACUGGCCUGUCUUGUCAGCAGCUAUAGAGGCAAUGACUGGGAUAUGACCAUUGUCAAUGAGUUGUCGAAGCACUGUGGGGUCCACAGUGGCUAUAUCACCAACGAAGCCAAGCUGAUCAGAAUUUUGGGAAGGCCUGGCAGUCAAAAGACGGCCAUCCAUACCAGAUAAGCCAACGGCAGAAGCCCCUGCCUUGUUGAUUAAGGCAACAAGAUGUUUGUUCACUUUACCCGCCAAUACCAUCGAAACAAUUUCCAUGGUUGUUGCAUCAGUGACACGACUUCCAUUCACAAACUUGGGCUUCAGCCCAACCUACCAAGCCACUGGUUGAUUUCAGGACCCCACCAUGGACCAUGACAAUGCGAAGACCAACACGAGAGAGAAGAACCAAGUCAGACAUUACAGAAGCUUGAAGGGCCUCAGACUUCAUGGCUGCACCUCCAUAUUUGACCACAAUUGUCUUGCCAUGGAACUUUUCUAUGUAAGGCAGCGCCUCCGGAAGGAUAUUGACUCUUUUUGUGCUGAUAUGGAACGUGUUUCAGGUACAACUACAGGUUCUGAUGAAGUCUCGUGGCAGGAGCUCCGAAAACUAAGAGAAGGAUUGGUAUACUUUUUCAAUCCAUUUGUUGAUGCCUAUGCAGUUUGUUGAGGUGAGAUUAGCACCAGGAGAUUUGGGUGCCUUUAUCAAAGCGGAGGAGAGAGGGAGGGAUUUAGCAGGCAGCAUUUCUUCUGCCUAACCUCCUUUUGCGUGGACUAUUUGGGUCAAAGCAAGAAAUCCAAACCAACCACACUCCAAGCAAAACGCAGGGAAACAGAUCAAUGAGAUCUGCAAUAAUAAGAGACUCCAAAUUGGAACAGCAACAAUUAAAAUUUUGUUUUACAACUGCAAAGCAAUACAGUUACGUACAAAAAAGCACACAUCGUUGUGUGAAAUUUGGGACUAGAAAACAAAUUUAGGAUGUCAAAAUCACAAUCUUUAUACGUCAAAUUCAGAGCCUAGAUUACUAAUGGAGCUCCCCUUACAGGUACAAGGAGGGUGUUGGCGGAUUUUUCUCUUUAUAGUUCAAAUAAUAAUGAAUUAUGGUUCAUGACCAAGCAUCUUCCAGAUUCCAAAAGGUAUUAUUCGUAAAAAGAAAAAAAAAACAAUAAACAAAACUGCCACUGAGGUUCAUGUAGCACUAUAACAAUUAAAGAACUGCUCAAGUGCAAAUCAUACAAAAAGUUCAGCAACCAGUGAAAUUUAAAGCCAGUAAGAGGGUUCAGGAAUUUCAAGAUUGUCAUGUUUUAUUCUUACUAACUAAUAAUCAUCAGGUCAAUAAACUCCAAAACUGAUACCAUUACAGUAGAAGUUCAAAUUCUCAUUCUCAGAGAACAGACAAAUCAUUAGAUAAUUUCCAUCAUGUUGACAUAAUAUUUUAAUAAAAUGGACGUAAUUGCAGUCACAGGGCCAGGGAUAAAGAAUGGAGCGCACAAGGUUUUCUUGGAGAUCAUUAUUACGAAAAAUCAGGAAUGUAUCAACUUAUUCUUCCUACUAUACAGAUUCUGAAAAGUAUAGUUACAGCUCAAAAAUCAGAAUCAUCCCAGUGUAAUAACUAAGUAAAAAUAAUUUAAUUAACUGCUGCAAAUAAUCAAGCACCUGCGAUGCUUUAAUACCUCAUCUGUUGUGCUAAAGACUGCACAAAUUAAACCAACAGCACCCGAAAUUUACAGUUAAAUCACAACAAAUUAUGCAUAUAGAGCAAAAACCCAUUUACAAACAUCAGCGAAUAAAAAAUUAGUACAAGUAUAUUAUAGCAGUUGACUGGGGCAAAUAAUCAAACACCUAAGAUGCAUUACUACAUAACCUACUUCAAUAAUCAGCAGCCCAAUAAUUGAGCCAAAAAUUGCAUAAUUACAGCAUCAGACAAAAUUUUACCUUCCCCCGUAGAAAUUUCAACCAACUAUUAGAAGCAAAAUGAGUAGAAAUCCAUGCACAGAAAUCCCUAAUAUCGAUGUUUUUGAGAUGAAAUUAAGAUAAAAUGAAGAAGCCCCUACGCCGCCAUGUUAUCUUUGUUCGCCCUUACAAGAACUAUAAGUAUUUUGUAAUGCUCCGUCGAAAGUGCCUUACUUCCUAUUUUGAAAUGUCUUAAAAUAUUUGUCACGUUAAAAAAGUCAAAACACCCUUAUGUUAUCAUUUAAAUUUUGAAUUUAUGAAAAUAAAAUUAAAAAAUAUAUAUAAACAUCAUAAUUAAAUCAUAAUUUUUAAAAUAUUAGAUUUCCGAAACAUAACUAAAUAAUUGAGACGGAAGGAGUAUAUUCAAACCUCCUGUCACGCUUUCUUAUAUUUCAAUGCCAACUCUCAAUCACGUCACGCUUGUAAGGGCGUGAAAUAUACAUUCAUAAUCUUAAAUAGAUUGGGAGUCCUACAUACAGCAUAUUUGGACAUGUAUUAGAGGUCGAAAUGGGAAAAAUGAUUAUUUAAGGGUAGAGAAUUGAAUAACAGUUGUUAAUUAAGAAAUCAGAAAAUUAUAGCAAAUGAGAAAGGACAGAGAGGUCCAAGGGUAAAACGGGAAAAGAAAAAAUUAAUUGAAUCUUUAGGAAAUCCAAAAAAAAUAUAGCGAAUGAGAAAGGGCGACAAAUGAUUAUUUAAGGGUAGGGAAUUGAAUAAGAUGUACACAUUAAGAAAUCACAAAAAAGAAAUUUAACAAAUGAGAAAGGAUGGACGAAUCAGAGGAUAAAAUGGAGACAAAUGAGAGGAUAGACAAAUCUAAAGGUAGAAUGGUAAAAAUAAUUGGAAAUGAUAAAAAAUUAAGGAAUCCAAAAAAUAUAGCAAAUGAGAAAGGGAACCAGACCAGAUGAUUAUUCAAGGGUAGGGAAUUGAAUAACAUGUCCGUUAAUAAAUAACAAAAAGAGAUGAUUUUAGAAACCUCCAUUAAGGUUUCUAAUAGUUUCACUUAACACUAUUAAAUUUUUAAAAAUCUCACUUAACUCCCCAGAUUUAAACUUUGUGUAACAUUUGAAACUCAUUUCGAAAUAUAAUAUUAAAAAAUUCAUUUUGGGAGAGUGAAUACAAUCUGAUUCCAAGUUGGCCCUUUUCUUAUGAUUUCUUAAUUAUCAUAAUAUGCCAAAUUUAUUACUUAACUUUUGCAAAUUGAUCAAUGUCUCGUUAACAAUUUUUGUGUCACUGCUUCAGAUAAAAUAGGUUAAAUUACCUAAAAUUAUGAAUGAUUUAUAUUACUCUUAAAAAUGACUUGCAAUAAUUUAUAACCAUGAGAAUAUCUUUUUGGACUAACUUAAAAAUAAUAAAAAACAAGUUUAUAUAUAAAAUUUAGCAUGUUGUAUCUUUUUAGUUAUCAAGCCAUCGAUUUAGAAAAAAUUAAAAAAUGUGUAAAUGAUUUAUUAAUUAACUCAAAACACUUUGAUAAAAUGAGAGGAGACAGACAAAUUCAAGGGUAAAACGGUAAAAAAAAAUUGGGUUAUAGAUCCACCGAAGCGGGAAGCCUUAACCGGAUGUGUUGGUAACAGUUAAGGCCCGAAGGCCGUUCCCGUCCCUGUCGGGGAGAUGCCAACCAUCUCUCCUUCUUAUGAACACGGCCAACGGUGGCGACCACUAGAAAUUACAACGCGCUUAAAGCUUAUCCAACAGGCCGAUGUGGGACAAGUUUCGGAUACGGCAAUCCCAAAAGAAAAUGGAUACUGAAAAACAAAAAGUCGUUGUGGUAAAUCAAAGUACAGAAAAAUUUUCGUGAUUUCAAAACGUACAAUAUGAUGUCUCAUAUUUUGAACUAAUUUGUGAAAAUGAUUAUUAAUUUUAGCGGAUUCCGUCACCUUUAUGAAAUCAUGAAAUUUUUCUAUGUAUUAGAUUUGUCACGAGUGAUUUUUUUAUCUUUUGAUCCAAAGAAAAUCGAUUUGCUUCGUACUAUCCCUGUGCACUUAAACACGCUUGUCAUUAUUGGCGUAUAAGAACCCAUCUUUUUGGACGCUUGACCAUUUUAUACAGUUUCAUUGGGCUAAUAUUUCACGUUUUAAACAAUGAUACCUACGUGAAUAUAAAUAAUAUAUAGGGAACGAAUUACAUGUGAAUGAAAAAGUUUCAUAUUAACCUGAGAAAGAACUGAAUUGUAAUCAUGACUUACAAAAACUCCAAAAUUUCAUUGCUUUAUUUACCCAAAAAAAAAACAAGUAGAAAUUUUAGGGCUCUGGUUCCCAUAAGUAAUACAUGAACUUUUAAAGAAACAUAUGAAUGCUAUAAAUCCUUUGUGUAGUACCCGAGAUCAUCUUCGAGAUGAUCCCUUGUUUCCGUAGACUUUCCAAUCUCAUCAAGUUAACUUAUAACUUAGGUCUCGGUAGCCAGGUAUCUCUAAGACCAAGAAGUGAUUGACAUGACAUUUCGCAAGUUAUUGCAGGUAUUUAUAGUUACCCCCUUUCCAUCGAUUUCGAAGGUAAUUGCAAUCCUGUGACCUUAACCGGGGCUUAAUUCCCGAGCUUUGUUUCUUAUUUCGUGCAGGAAGCUUGUAACAAUGAUUGCCGAUCUACACAGAUCUCGGGAAUCCUGAUUACGAUUCUACACUAUGCUUUUGUAAGUUACGUAAUCUUGGUUCCUAAUUUUCAUGGUUAUUCAAUCUCCUUCUCCCUAUAUAUUAUUAGUACUUCCACCCUUUACUUUCAGGUAGGGAUGUAUUCGAGCCAAGUCGAGCUCAAAUAGUGCUAUACUCGAGCUCGACUCGACCUAUAUGUACCUAGACUCGAGUUCGGCUCGAGCUCGACCAAGUUUAAAAAUCGUAACUCGAGGCUUGACUCUAGAAAAUUCUUUUAAACUCGAGAGUCGACUCGAUAAGGCUCGACCUUUAGUCAAGCCUUAUCAAGUCGAACAUAAUCAAGCUUUUUGAGCUUUAGUCUCUUAAUGCAAGUGAUCUAGGGACUUUAGAGGAAUUAUAUAAAGUGGGAUGAAGUUUGUGGAGUUUAGUGGAAUUAUACCGAGUGUGUUUUGUUUUAAAGGCAUUUCUAACAAAUUACACACAACAAUUCUAGUGAUGCUUGUUUAACUCUCCAUAUCAAGUCAUUAAAUCCAGGCUACUACGAAAUACUCAAAUUGUUCUUCCUUCUUUCUUUUUAACAUCCAGGAUUGACAGGUUACGCCUUAUAUCUAUACAAUUUUUAUUUUGGGGUUUUAGAAAUCUGCUCUUAGAAGUUAGAAUUUAUUCUUUAGCACAAAGAGAGCAAUAAUUAGAUUCUAGAGCCAUGUGAAGAUGAUGGAGUGUGUUUUCAAAUUUUUUUUUUUUUUUUGAAAAAAAGGGUUGUGAGCAAUUUCCUUCUGAUUGAACCACUUUUGACAAAGGUUGCCAAUUCAGUUGAAGUCCAAUUUAGUAGAACCGUGUCCUACUUUAGCCAAUUGCGUGGCAUUUUUACGAAAAAUUCCACACAGCAUACCAUUCAAAUGCGGAAGGCAAAAAAGAGGCAAAAAAAUUCCACACAGCUUUCGUAUUCAUUGUUACACUUACGCAUGCCUAAUAAAAAAGGCCAAAAAAGACAAAAAAGGAAAACAAAUUAAAGCAGAAGUGUUUCAUCAGAUCUAGAUGGCGAUGGAGGCUGACAGGAAAACAAAUUUAAUAUGCUUCUGGAUUUACUCCCAGACCCAGUAAUCAAUCAUACUACUACUUCCCAUUCCCCGUCCCCAGUCCCCACACCCAUAGUGCCAUAGAGAGAGAGAGGGAAGCAAAGAUGAAUGAAGGGGGAAAUGGAAAUAGAACUGGAAAUGCACAUUAGAGCAGAGGCAGACAUACCAGUAACCAGAAAAGCGAUGGCGAUGGAGGCUGACAGAUGCGGCGAGCAACGGCUUGAGAGUAACGGAGGUAGGGUUUAGAAGUCACUCGUUCGAACAGAGAAGAAGGGAGGAAGAGAAACUAAAGUCUGAAGCUUUUCUUUGCUUUUUCCCAGCAUUUUUUCUUUUUAGAUCUUUUACAAUUAUGUUAUUACUUUUUUGCCCAAAGUAGCUCGAGACUCGGUUCGAACUCGAUUUGAUCGAGUUCAAGCCAAGUCAUUGACCGAGUUACUCGCAAGCUAUUUGAUAUUGGCUCGACUUGCAUACAUCCCUACUUUCAGGCACUCAGAUGUGAAUCUCUAAAAUCCAAAGCGAUUAGAAAGAAGUUAUUGGCCAGAAGUCACGGGCCAUGGAGUUGGACGAAGCAGGGGACGGGGCUGUGCUCCUCAAAAGAUGUCUUUAAAGGUUAUUCUGCUUCAUCAAGCUACCAAGCGCCGGCAGAUGAUCCGUCCAGGAACGCCACCAGGUGCCCGAGAAGGUGAUGAAAUACAGGGAUGUAAUUGCAGACUGUUCUAAUAAGCAGAAGGCUGGGGCCUCAAGAAAUGUUACAGGUUCAUUAUCAACCUACAGAAAACCAAUAGAUAAUCAAUCUUGGAAUGAUGUAAAGUGGAUGCACAGGUUCGAGUAAGGAGUCGAAAUGCAGCUUGGCCUUGGAGCUGAUAAAGGCUCGCAAAGAAAAAUUAUCAUUUGGCGCCUCAAAAUGCAAUAGAUACAAGGAAGUUCUUGCUGGCUGACCUAGGGAAGAAAAGGGGAACCUAAUGCUUAGAUUUGAAGAUUGCCAGCUGAAUCAUGUCUUGGCAACAGGAGACAACAAGUUUCGAUGAGUUUUACUUUGUUCCACUCUCCCCCUCCCCCAUUUUAAUGAAGAUGAAAGGGAAUUCAUUUUCACCAAUUCUUUUGUAACUCACCUCAUUUUAUUUGUUGAAUUCUGCGUAAGCAAUGAAUAGAAUCCAGCCACACAAGGUAAUCAACUCAUCUUCAAUGAACUGUUGAGGCAAUAGAUGAACUACCAGAGACAUCUCUAUAACGGCUUCACUCAUUUCAAUAUUGCACUUUGACUUCUUCCUGUUCCUUUAAAAAAAAAUUGCCAUUCAACUGAAAAGAAUUGAAAUAAAUCGAGGAAAGACCAGAAUAAGCAAAUUCAAAUUCCCAGGAGAGUUGUUUAGUAGUAAAAGGCUUGUGCGUCUGACAAAGAAUUAGUACAGCAGCGUUUCUAUACUGAAAUGAGACCAGAACAAGUACAGCAGCGUUUCUAGAUAUUGGAACAGUAUUCCUGAACUUGCAAUCUUGUGUUGUUUUUUGAAGCUUCCUUGCAGGGCGCCUAUGCUAGAACAUGAAUCCACAGGCAUAUCGGGGUAAUUGAGUCCAGUUCAACUACAGGCAGCCUAACCCUCCCUGUGAGCUGCCAUCUGCCAAAUUGUAUCACAAACAAGCAAAAGAAGUGUACCAAACCUAAGCAAAGAAGACUGAAUAUGAUUUGUCAACUUACCAUCUAACAUUGCAGCUGAUCUUCAAUGCGAAAGGCACAUGAAAUCUUCUCCAUUCCCGUAAAAGCACUAUAGCCACUGGGCAGGCCAAAUUAGUGCACUGCAUAUUCUCAUCCAUGGGAGUGAUGAUUUGACUGGGAACUGUGGCAAGAGACUUUAUUAAAACUCAUCGAUAACUAUUUAAAAUACUAUAGUGGAUAACUAUUUAAAGAACAGGUAAUUGGUGUCAUAAAAGGCAAAACAUAGCCAACCUCAUUCUGGCUAUCAACCCGUAACUCAGAACUACUUUAUCCACAUUUGAGAUGCCAAAUGAAGCCAAUUUUAAACCAAGUCUUGAUAUGAUAGAAAAACUCAUCCAAUCAGCUGUGGUGUGGCAGACUGAAAGUAAGCUUUCGGAUUGUCAUAGCUGGUUUGUACUCUACUAGUCAUUUAUGUCAAGGAGAAGGUAUAUGAUUUCAGGAGAACAGGCAGACUUAAUCAAGGAAGAAUGUUAUCCAUUAGCCUGAAAAGCUGGAGCAACAGUAUUCAUUAUAGAAGCUUUAAAUUCAAGAACGAUCCACUGACAAGAGGAAUGCAGCUGAGUUAAUAUUUUUUUCACACUCAGGAAAUGGCAGCUUCACAACUGAGAUCUUGGCAGACAACCCAUCAUAAUGACAUCAACAUAUAGAAACCUGGUCACCAACAUUGAGAUGAUUUACAAACAAAGCUAUAAAUCACUAAGACAGUUCAAUGGUGAUUUAGAAUGAAACCACUUAUUGCUGGCUUUUAUCUCUCCACUUUCUGAAUUUCCAAAAAGUCAUGCUCAUGAAACUCAUCAAAGGACAUCCGGGUCUCUGCAUAGACAGAAUACAAAGGAAUACUAAAAACUGCAGGUAUAACCAAAUUUCAGCGUUGCUCUCUGAAAAGAAAGGAAAAUCAUGAAAUCCUAAUCAAGGUAGGAUCCAAACCUGGAUUGACAGACAACAGUCUAGAACAUAAAUCAACACAGGUCGGAUGCAACUCAGAAAGAACCAGCUGAGAAAAGGGAAGAUAUGAAGAUUCCUUGAUAUUCUGCAAAAGCUGCAUCAUCCAAAUAUAAUUGGUGCACGAGGAGCUACUGAGACGGCUAUUCAAUUUAGAUAAAGGAGUUACCUGAACACUAGUCCUACCAUGAAAAGGAGGGUAGCCAUUAAGAAGUUCAAAAAGAAUUGCACCAAUGCUCCACAUGUCAACCUAUGAAGAAAGCUUAAAUCAAAUCGUGUCUCAAUCUGUACUCAUGAUUGUAUGAGUUCUCGAUAGUUCUAUUGGAUAUGCUGGCAACAUCUCUCUAGCACAUUUAAAAUAGUAGUAGAAAGAUCUCCAACCUUUUCAUCAUAUUUUUGAAAUUGAAGAAUUUCUGGAGCCAUGUAUAAUGGAGACCCACAGACUGUCUCAGCAAAGGUAUCAGGGUGCAAAAUUCUGUCAACAGGAAAAGGCAUUGAGAUCAUUACAAACAAUUUUAUUACAUUGUCCUCCUGUCAAAUGAAAAUUCAAAAGCUAUUACGUGUUAGUCAACUAUUACCUUGAGAGUCCAAAAUCAGCAAUUUUCAGCAGAGCAUCACCAUCAGAGCUUGACAACAGAAUGUUCUAAGCCAAAGAAAACAACACCCAAAAAAAAAAUUUGUAUCAGAAAGUCAAAAUUCUGAUAGGAAAUAUGAUGAAAAUUUUAGCCUUCAAUGUUAAGAGGAAAAAACAGAGGAAAUAAUCCAUUCCAUCCUAUUGAGAAAGAUUACUGAAGGAAAGACAAAAGCAACAAGAGAUAGCACAAGUUUGAAAUUGGGAAAGACUCGUCAUAGUGUGCUGACACCGGCAACCAAAUUAAUACAAGUGAUCACCUUAUACCAUAUGCAAAGCUUUUCCCUCAUCAGUGACUAACAUACUUUGUGUUCACCUAACUGUCUAAUAGCUAUAAGAACAUGCUCAGAUAUGCAACUAUGGGCGUAUUAGGCAUGCUUUCUUUAUAACAUUCUUUAUAAAUGGAAGAUGCCAAACCAGAAAGACUUUCAUGCAUUAGAUGUUUUUACUAUGUAAGUUCAGAGCCUGCUUUGCUUGAGGUAUUUGAGAUUCUAAACUUCCAAAUUUUAGAAACAGAACAGCAUAAUUAGCAUUAUUUCAAUUGUUUAUUUAUGACAACAUAGUUUCAUGCUAAAUGAACAUAUGUCGUCAAAGGAUUGGACAGUGAGAGAGACCACUCUCCUAUGAUGCAGCAUUUCGUAGAUAAAACAAGUAUAAAUGUACUCGUGGCUGCACUGUGAGGGAAGCUUAUAGAUACCUUAACCAAAAUAGGUAAAAAAUUCAUACCUCUGGCUUCAAGUCACGGUGGAUGAUUAGGUGUGAAUGCAGCACCUCUAAUCCAGCAGCUGGAACAAAAUUAUUAAAUGAGGCAAAUAGUGUAGUUGCUGAAAAUGAAGAAGUCUGAUGCCAUUUUCUGAGUGAAACAUUACCAAUCUGUUGCAUGAAUCUUUUAGCUAUGCAUUCUUGCACUCUACCAUGAUUCCGGACAUAAGCACCGAGAUUGCCCCCAGCACAAAACUCCAGGAUGAGAAAAAUGCUGCCUUCAGCCUGAAAGACGUCCAUUGACUGUCCUUGAGAAGGUGAUUAGAAGGAAAUUGCAAAUCACUUUCUUGGAGUUCACUUUUUUUGUGGAAGAAAAGAAAUGAAAAUUUCAUUAUCACCAUGAUACUGGAAGACUGCCAUAUCCAACUUUCAAGCUCUUGAAAUCCUGAGCAAUGAAAGAUCCUACACUAACAUGUUUUCAAUUUAAUCUUAAAUGCUUUCAUCUAAAUUGCAUUUGACUGGAAACAGUCUAUGUCCUAGAUUUCCCUAAUUCUGAGUAUUAAAUGACACAAAAAUGAUUGUCUUAGAUAGUUGUAGAAUGAGUGCUAUGAUGGAAGAGUCCAAAUUCUCAUACACAAUAUAGCUACAUCAAUAGUAAAUAAAUCAAGCCACAUCCAUUGAGAUAAAUGUGCCAGCGAGUUGACUUACAGACAUAUUAUGUCAUCCAAUCAAGCAAUAACAAUUUCAUAGUACUAAUUAAGUGGACGUGAGAGCCAACCUAGCUCAUAAAAGUCAUGACAUAAAGCUACCAAGGUGAUGGCCAGCAUGAUUACUUAAAUAAUGUAAUAAGAGCUAUAUUUUCAUCAACAACAAAACCAGAAUCUCAACCCUUACCACACAUUAUCACAUCAAAGGAGUAGUCCAUCAUCACACUCAAUUUCAAGAGCUAAUAGACCCAAAUGUAUAUCCAAAAAAUAAAUAAUAUAAAAAAGCUGUCAGCUUAAAUUUCAGAGCAUAUCGGUUAAAACAGGGGAUUUUGGUUAUCGGGUGAAAAAUUAAACUCAAAGUCUCAGUCAGCUGUGAGUGCACAAACGGCACAGAUGAACAACUAUGACAAUUUGAUUUGGCAACCGAAAAAAUUGUUCCGUAGAUUGUCACUAAUUUUUUGUAGCAAUCAGCUAAAUCCAGUGGCAGCAUAGUUUGAGAAGGAGAGUGUGCUGGUGUCAUGCAACGGUAAUAGAAGCAAUUGUCAUGAACCAUGAUGAACAUGGUGUCACAUCCCAAAACAGAACGCUAAAAUUAGUUAAUGAUGCCAAAAAAUUUUAUCGUAAUACAAUCUAGUCAGAUUGAAAUUACUUUGGUGACAUGCAACAAGGAACAAGAAUUAUAAAAAAAGAAGUUAACCAACAAAGCAAAUUAAACAGGAACCUAGCAUCACAAAUGUGUCAAAUUUUCUACUUUCCUACUUUUCAGACAAAUAAUCUGUUAUUUCUUGCUAUUUCUUCUUAGGAAUCCUUCUGCAAUUCUGUUUAUCAACAAUUCACCGAUGGUUGAGCAAUUUUGAACUCACCUAUCUGUAAAACUUUAAGGCCAUGUUAUGGAGUACUCCAACUUUAAGUUUAGAUGCCAAAAAUGAAAGUCAGAGAAUUAAAUGGGACUUCCUACACUCUGGGAUUAAAAUUAGUAUAAACUAAGCAAACUUCAGCUACAUUUCAGCUUACAGCAGAGCAGAUUCCAUACACUUGACAAGAAAUCACAAGCAUAAUUUAUUCGACGAUUAAUCCCACACACAUAAAACAUCUACACCAUCAAACUUGGAGUCGUUAUAUUAAUUUAAUAUUAUACAAUUAUCCAAUUUCACGAUCAAUCAAAGUAAUCUCAAAAUAAAGCAAAUUGGUCUGAUCAAAGGGCCAUAGUGACUUAGAAAAAUGAGCAGAACGCAGCAAACAUAAAAAACAUCUAGAAGACGAAUGAUACAGGGUGAGUAACAGAGGAUAAGAAUUUGAAUUCAGAGUUAAUUUCAAUAUACAAAGCAAAAUGGCGGU